UACAUGGAUAAAUCUGUACAUGUUAAACAGGUUUUUUUUUAAUACUUCAUCUUUGGAGGGAAAUAUACAUGGCCAUUCACCUUGUGAUUUCUGCAAACUCAGAGUGCAUUUCUCUAUUUGCAUGUAUUACAUUACCUCCAGUCUUUAGAAUAAGCAUCCUUGUGCCAUUUUCUUAAUGUCAUUUGUGACCAUUACUUUUUUUAUUGGAUUUUUUUUUCUCAUUUUUUGAAGUGGAGAGCUCAUUAGACAGCUGUUUGCUCAUCAGACACUCUCUAUGCAGACAAAGUUUGAAGCAAAUAAUUUAAACGUUUCUCUCUUUGUUAGGUGUUGAGAUUUAAGUGGUCCUAGCAGACCAUGCUCCACUAUGUUUGGGGAUUUGUUUUGGUUUGAUUUGAUUUGAUGUGUUUGGGUGCUUGGGCAGCUUGUAUGUGUGUGCAGUAAGCUUGCCUGAUGAAAGCCGUUAUGUAAAUGAUCCCGUGGUUGGCGACUUUACAGGACAGGAAAUCAGAAGCCAGGUGAUCUGGGCGGAGCUAGGAGGAGCCUCUCUGGGGAACCAGGCUGAAGGAACCGGAAAUUCCUCCAUUCCCUGUUGUACUCGGGGAUCCUCAUGGUCCAGAACAAGAUGUAAAAUUUCAACAAGAGCUCAAGUUUUCUCCUAAGACACUCAGAGAAGAGCCACAAGAACAAUGAAUGCUUCUGUGGUAAAUGCUCCCCAGGUCAGUGUCAUGUUCACAUUUUUAUGUAAACUUCAUGAUGCAUUAUGCCCCUGUUUCUCUGAGGUCAGCACAAAACCAUGGGCACUGAAGUCAUACAUUGUAGUUAUUGUCAUGUGUAUAUAGAGAAUCAAAUUAGGUUUCUCUAUAGGUACAGAAUGGGGCUCUUACAUCUGAGCCAUGUCUUCAUUCUGGUGGGAGCUUGUGAUAUUAUAUAACACUGUAUAUUCUAGUUUCAAAAAUAAAGGAGUAAUCAUUAUUGAUAGCUGUCUAUGCUAAAUUCUUGUUACAAUUAUUUUCUAAUUUUCUAAUAACUGUUCUAAUUGCCUUGGAGAUGAUUAAAGGGAUACCUAAAUCCCUUCAAACAGUUAAAAACAACCUAAAUCGAUUUAGAUAUAGCCAAAAGAAUCAUCCAGACAGUCGGUUAAUAUCUUAACAAAAAAAGUCAAGGGUUAAGCCAUCAGAGCCAGUCAA